CCUUUCCCCGAACGGUUGAUUGCUGCAUAUCACAGCGACAGUGGCAUCGGCAUCGGCGACAGCGUGGACCAACUCACGGCGACCAGGAACUCUUGGCAACCAGCAGCGACUCUCUGCCAUACUAUUUUUUAAAUCUUUAUUGGAGUGGACAACUGGUAUUUGAGUCUCUGAGUUUGUUCUUUGAUCUGAUCUUUAGAGUUAAGCAAGGUUUUAUGAUUUCUCACAUCCUCUUUCACUGACUUCUCUGUUGGUAUCUCUCUGGGCAUUUCUUCCUCGCGAUAGUUUUGAAGAUUUCAAGCACUUUGCAUUGUCGAUCUUCCAUUCACCGGAGAAGGUCAGUAAUGAUCAGUAUCCCAUUUUUCGAAGCUUUUGAUGGACUUCUGACUUCUGAUCUGUGACACUGAAACUUAUUUGCCCAUUUACCUUCAAGUUCUUUAUUGAAAUUACGCCUGUUUUCCCAAUGAUUUCCAAUUCUGAUUCGGAUGUUGGUGAUGUAGGUUAGUUCAAUUUUAAGUGUUGCUUUACAUCUUCCAUUGGUUUCAUUUUACUAUUCUCACAGGAUUUAGAAUUCCUUUUUCUGAUCAAUGCCAAGAGAUUCCUCCUUUUAACUCUUGAAAUUGGAAGAGUAAGAGUCUUCUUUCUGUCUUGUACUGUGUGGUUAUCAUAGAAAUUUUGAACUCCUACUUCUCUAGUCUUUUAUACUUGAACUCUGUUCGUGGAUUCAUCGUAACAGUUUUCUGAUCUUUUGGGAGAAAUUAGAACACGCCACAGUAACCACGGCUCACACCGCCAAGCUUUUCUUGAGCGAUAAUUUCCUCUUUUAGAAAUUCUAUAUUAUGUUUUUUUAGAGAUUUUCUCUUGGAGAUUAUUCUAGAUUAUUCAGUAAUUGCAUUGUGACGAUAAAAUCCUUGUCUGUGGCUGUAGCUUAGCUUGUAAGUAUCCUAAUUAAUUUUUGAAUAAUGUAUAAUGAUCAUUUUAAUUUUUCAUUUAACAGUGAUUGACGAUAGGGGAUCUGACUCUAAUUUGGUGAAACAGAGAAAGUGUUCUGAUAAUAGUAUCAUUCUCUAGGGGAUGACGCUGUAAAUUUUCGUUACUGAAAUGUGUGAUUGAUAAAAAAAAAAUGUAUUUAAUUGUGUAAAAAUUUAUCAGAUAUUUUCAAGUUUUCAAGCUGAUAAGUAAGCUAAAUUUGUUUUGUAUUUUUCUACGUAAGAACAUCUAGAUGUUAGAAAAAAAGAAUUCCUAAAAUAAGGUGAUCCUAUAUCAGCUUGAGUGAAUGUCAUCAUUGUGAUUUCAAGCUUGGAGUUGAACCACGAAUUUCUUUUCUUUUUUUUUUAUUUGGUAGAUUGCACUAUCCUACUGACAAAAAAAAAAAAAAAUGAUGCGUAAGCAUCAUAAUCAUUCUGGGUUGUCAUUCUCAAGAAUCAAAAUAUCAAGUACUACAAGCCAAGCAAAUUGCAAUGUGUCACUAAGAAAAAAACGUCUUCUGACACUUCAGUUAUGUAAUUUAAUGGAAGCUAGAUUAUAUCUUUUGAAGAUGAAUGACACAAGCUUAAAGUGACGAAGAAACCAAACUUUCAUAUACUUUAUGAAGCAUCAAUUGAAUUCAUGUCUUUGACGAGUAAUUGUACUUAGAUUCUAAAUUUCAAUUAUAUUGUAAUAUUCCUAUGUCUUACCCUAAGGGGGUUGCUUAGUUGACAAAAACCAACACCUCAAAAUUAGGAGGUCCUAAGUUCAACUCACCUUAGAACUUUUAUAUAUAUAUAUAUAUAUAUAUGUGGGAGAGGGAUAGGUAUGCUAGAGAAAGGUAACUCAAUAAAGUUAAAAUACACUGACAAUACUGUACUAUUUGGCUUGAUAAAUUCAAAUACAUUACUCUGAAAAAGGUGUACUCUCAGCAACGUCCCUUUCAACUUCAGUUGAAGAUUGGAAAUGGUCCUAACGAGUUAGGGCUUGUUCUCUCGACCUAUUCAGAUUAUUCAUAAUCUGUGGUAGCCGUUGGGAGAGCUGGGGGAGAGGAAGAGGGGAAGAGAGGAAGAGAAGAGUGAAGAAAAAUCUUCUCUCGACCUCUGCAAGGAUCAUUAAUUAUGGUCGCCACGGGGAAAGCUGGGAGAGAGGAAGAGAAGAGUGAAUGUUUCAUUUGAUAGAAGUCUGAAGAAAAAUCUUCUCUCGACUUCUGCAGGGAUCAUCUCUGGUCACCGCUGGCCAACUGGAAGAGGGGAAGAGGGGAAGAGAAGAGUGAAGGUUUCAUUUGAUAGAAGUUUGCAGGGAUCAUCUAUAGUCGCCGCUAGUCAACUUGUGCUUCCUUGCCCUCUUUUUUCUGAAAUUUUUAUAUGGCUGCACUUCCGUCCUUUUUUGUUUAAUGAAUUUAAUUUACUAUUCUGAGUGUCAACAUAUUGAUAUAAUGUCGUAGCACUUUCGAAUAGUCGGUGGUUCUUAUCAUAUACAUGAAGUUGUCCCCUCUAAGAUAUGUUACCGAUUUUGUAAUACUUUUUUAGUGAAUACCUUGAUAACGUUUAGGCCAUCUUUGUACUCUGAUAUCAUCAAUUUUGAACAAUAUGAUCCAUUCAGAAACAGAGAUAAUGCAGUUGGGUAGUAAUUGUAUUACUCAUGCCUUUCAAAAUUAUAAUAACUUGGUAUUCUUCUCUGGGGGGAUUCAUCUGUGAAAUGUCCAAGGAGCUGGAUGAAAAGCUCCUACAAAUUGAAAAACUAGUUGGUUGAUGUUCAUGAUCUUAUAGGAUGAUUGCAUCUAACUGAUACUCUGAUACUGAGCUCAUUUAUGUACUGUAAAAACUGUGGCUGGUUAGUUUUUGGAAGAGGGAGUGCAUCUUCUCUUUCUUCCUUUUAUUUUUAUUUAUUUAUUUAUUUUUUAAGGAUUCUCAACUUGCACUAGUUUGAAGGAAACUCAUUUUUUUUUCUGUUUUUUUCUGAGGCCAUAAGAAGUGAAGGCAAAACAUCCAAAGAUUACAUAUGCAGACCUUUAUCAGGUUCGAGUCUACAAAGCAACAGAAAGCUAUUCAGGAAUUCAUUAAGGGCAGAAGGCUAGACAAGCACAUUCAGUGGUCUUUUUCUGUAUUAUGACAUGUACUGUUGUAACGACUUCAGCUUUAUGAGAUCCUGUAGAGCAUUCUUUUCAUUUGCCACUUUGUUAACAAAAAUUUUCAAAAAUGAUCUGGCCUCCCUGAAAAGGUUUAGACAAUAUAUUGGAAGCUAGGUACUAACAAAGCAAUUAAUAAAACACUAUUUACAGGUC